rnacentral:rRNA from 1 species
AUUGAACGCUGGCGGCAUGCCUUACACAUGCAAGUCGAACGGCAGCACGGGAGCAAUCCUGGUGGCGAGUGGCGAACGGGUGAGUAAUAUAUCGGAACGUGCCCAGUGAUGGGGGAUAGCCCGGCGAAAGCCGGAUUAAUACCGCAUACGACCUACGGGUGAAAGCAGGGGAUCGCAAGACCUUGCGUCAUUGGAGCGGCCGAUAUCAGAUUAGCUUGNGGUGGGGUAAAGCCUACCAAGGCGACGAUCUGUAGCUGGUCUGAGAGGACGACCAGCCACACUGGGACUGAGACACGGCCCAGACUCCUACGGGAGGCAGCAGUGGGGAAUUUUGGACAAUGGGCGCAAGCCUGAUCCAGCCAUGCCGCGUGCGGGAAGAAGG